rnacentral:rRNA from 1 species
AUCUAAAAAGCUAGCCCAAAGCCUUAAUUAAAGACCAAAUAUUACUAGUAAUUAAAAACCCAAGGAUAUUAAAUAAAUCAUUUUUCCUCCAUAGUAUGGGAGACAGAAAAG